rnacentral:rRNA from 1 species
UACGGGGGGAGCAAGCGUUGUUCGGAUUUACUGGGCGUAAAGGGCGCGUAGGCGGCCACCGCAAGUCGACUGUGAAAUCUCCGGGCUUAACCCGGAAAGGUCAGCCGAUACUGCGGGGCUAGAGUGCAGAAGGGGCAACUGGAAUUCUCGGUGUAGCGGUGAAAUGUGUAGAGAUCCCGAGGAAUACCAGUGGUGAAGACGGCGCCCUGGGACAUUACUGACGCUGAGCUGCGAAAGCGUGGGGAGCGAACGGG